AGUGAAAUCAGCAUCAAGAAUUCUAAGAAAAUAGACCUGAUGUUUCCAGUUGUUCAGGUAAUUCUGAGAGGAAGUUUAAGCAGGAGAUAACAUCUCACCACAGAGAACAGGAGAAGAAACACUUGCUAACGGAUGUGACAUGUUUUUGAACCAUUUUCCAAGUCUCAAUCUUUGCUCUCUCUACAUAUCUAUCUGCAAUAAGUCAGUUUAGGGACUGAAGCCAAAGCCACAGAAGUGGAUUCCGUGCCAAGGUUCCUUUUAUUCCUGGUGAACUACUCAGUUCCCUACUGUCCCAAAGGGAAGCAAAAGACUCCCAGUUUUCUGAAAACCAGAUUCUCUGCACGACAGUGCAUUGCAUUGCCACAGGAUGGGCCACAGUGGAUGUUCUCCUAGCAAACAAAUCAGUCUUUUCUCAAACUGAAGGUAUUUGGAAGUUGGUAGCCUGCAUGUUUCACACACAGCCAGCCAUCACUGUGACACUCUACACAGGAUUUUGGAAUGAAACUCAAACAGAGGACAGAGAUGGAAAAUAGAGCAUCUUACUGACCUGCUCAAAAACAAGACACACAGAGAGAUUGUGAGCAAGAACUAAACCCCAACACAUUGUUUUCAAACCUACAGAGACCUCCUACAUUAAAUAAAAUAAAUAAAUAAAUUC